UUAACUCAAAGUUGUAUGGAGUUGGAGUGUUUGCCUACGUUCGUCGCUAGGGGCGCUGUUCCAACUGCGUACAAAUUCACACA
rnacentral:pre_miRNA from 1 species